UACUGUAGCAAUACAGAGAUGAGCAAAAACGCGUGUCGAUCUGUUCUUCCGCUGUUCUGCACGCCUCACCGCCCCCUGCCCACAGAGCCCUCCUCGCACACCGCCAUUCACACACGGAACAUUCUACAAUUUACACGUUCUGCUAAACAGUAAAUUGCUUUACAGGGACCUAAUGGUGUCUUUAUCAGCAAGGCUAGACAUUUAAUCCUGCUGGUCAAACUAACAACUGCUCCCCAUUUAUCCAUCUCAGCGUGCGGUGAGGGUGACACGCAAAUUUAAAUAUUUACGCCUAUUCUGGAGGUCUGCUCAACAUCGCUGACUGCGUCCCUCGCUGAAAAAAUGAAGAGGACAGUAAAGCUGUGGGUGGCUUUAUUUCUGCUGAGGUCAGUAAAUGGGAUAAAUCAAGAUCUCAAAGGCCUCAAACAUAUAACAUUUAGUGAAGGAAUCCAGCUCGUUGUUGAUGAGGGCUCCAGCUCUCCUCCUACGGUCGUUGUGUUACAGCCUUUGCUGCCUGACCAGAGGAGUUCAGGACCUGUAGUCCUGGUGUGUCUUGUACGAGGCUUACCUGACAGUCAGGUGAGCCUCCACUGGACGGUGAACGACGAGAAAAUCAAUGACGGAGACGCUACAUCUGAAACAUCUGUAGACACUGACGGCUCAUAUUCUGCUACAGGAUUUCUCCUCAUUCCUGUGACACAAUGGCACCCAAACAACAUAUACAGAUGUAUAGUAAACCACGGUAGCCAUGUUUAUGAAGGCAGCAGACAGGCCUCUAGCUGCUACGAUGUUAAAUAAACAGUAAUAAGAG